rnacentral:rRNA from 1 species
AAUAGAUACCCCGGUAGUCCACGCCGUAAACGGUGGGCGCUAGGUGUGGGGGACUUUCCACGUCCUCUGUGCCGCAGCUAACGCAUUAAGCGCCCCGCCUGGGGAGUACGGCCGCAAGGCUAAAACUCAAAGGAAUUGACGGGGGCCCGCACAAGCGGCGGAGCAUGUGGCUUAAUUCGACGCAACGCGAAGAACCUUACCAAGGCUUGACAUGCAGGGAAAUCUCGUAGAGAUACGGGGUCCGCAAGGGCUCUGCACAGGUGGUGCAUGGUUGUCGUCAGCUCGUGUCGUGAGAUGUUGGGUUAAGUCCCGCAACGAGCGCAACCCUUGUCCUAUGUUGCCAGCGAGUAAUGUCGGGGACUCAUAGGAGACUGCCGGGGUCAACUCGGAGGAAGGUGGGGAUGACGUCAAAUCAUCAUGCCCCUUAUGUCUUGGGCUGCACAUAUGCUACAAUGGUCGGUACAAAGGGCUGCGAGACCGCAAGGUGGAGCGAAUCCCAAAAGCCGGCCUCAGUUCGGAUUGGGGU